rnacentral:rRNA from 1 species
UUGAACGCUGGCGGCAGGCCUAACACAUGCAAGUCGAACGGUAACAGGAAACAGCUUGCUGUUUCGCUGACGAGUGGCGGACGGGUGAGUAAUGUCUGGGAAACUGCCCGAUGGAGGGGGAUAACUACUGGAAACGGUAGCUAAUACCGCAUAACGUCGCAAGACCAAAGAGGGGGACCUUCGGGCCUCUUGCCAUCGGAUGUGCCCAGAUGGGAUUAGCUAGUAGGUGGGGUAACGGCUCACCUAGGCGACGAUCCCUAGCUGGUCUGAGAGGAUGACCAGCCACACUGGAACUGAGACACGGUCCAGACUCCUACGGGAGGCAGCAGUGGGGAAUAUUGCACAAUGGGCGCAAGCCUGAUGCAGCCAUGCCGCGUGUAUGAAGAAGGCCUUCGGGUUGUAAAGUACUUUCAGCGGGGAGGAAGGGAGUAAAGUUAAUACCUUUGCUCAUUGACGUUACCCGCAGAAGAAGCACCGGCUAACUCCGUGCCAGCAGCCGCGGUAAUACGGAGGGUGCAAGCGUUAAUCGGAAUUACUGGGCGUAAAGCGCACGCAGGCGGUUUGUUAAGUCAGAUGUGAAAUCCCCGGGCUCAACCUGGGAACUGCAUCUGAUACUGGCAAGCUUGAGUCUCGUAGAGGGGGGUAGAAUUCCAGGUGUAGCGGUGAAAUGCGUAGAUAUAUGGAGGAACACCAGUGGCGAAGGCGACUUUCUGGUCUGUAACUGACGCUGAUGUGCGAAAGCGUGGGGAUCAAACAGGAUUAGAUACCCUGGUAGUCCACGCCGUAAACGAUGUCGACUUGGAGGUUGUGCCCUUGAGGCGUGGCUUCCGGAGCUAACGCGUUAAGUCGACCGCCUGGGGAGUACGGCCGCAAGGUUAAAACUCAAAUGAAUUGACGGGGGCCCGCACAAGCGGUGGAGCAUGUGGUUUAAUUCGAUGCAACGCGAAGAACCUUACCUGGUCUUGACAUCCACGGAAGUUUUCAGAGAUGAGAAUGUGCCUUCGGGAACCGUGAGACAGGUGCUGCAUGGCUGUCGUCAGCUCGUGUUGUGAAAUGUUGGGUUAAGUCCCGCAACGAGCGCAACCCUUAUCCUUUGUUGCCAGCGGUCCGGCCGGGAACUCAAAGGAGACUGCCAGUGAUAAACUGGAGGAAGGUGGGGAUGACGUCAAGUCAUCAUGGCCCUUACGACCAGGGCUACACACGUGCUACAAUGGCGCAUACAAAGAGAAGCGACCUCGCGAGAGCAAGCGGACCUCAUAAAGUGCGUCGUAGUCCGGAUUGGAGUCUGCAACUCGACUCCAUGAAGUCGGAAUCGCUAGUAAUCGUGGAUCAGAAUGCCACGGUGAAUACGUUCCCGGGCCUUGUACACACCGCCCGUCACACCACGAGAGUUUGUAACACCCGAAGUCGGUGAGGUAACCUUUUAGGAGCCAGCCGCCGAAGGUGGGACAGAUGAUUGGGGUG